AUUGAACGCUGGCGGCAGGCCUAACACAUGCAAGUCGAGCGGAGCGGCGGACGGGUGAGUAAUGCCUAGGAAUCUGCCUGGUAGUGGGGGAUAACGUCCGGAAACGGGCGCUAAUACCGCAUACUAUCAGACGAGCCUAGGUCGGAUUAGCUAGUUGGUGGGGUAAAGGCCUACCAAGGCGACGAUCCGUAACUGGUCUGAGAGGAUGAUGAGGCACACUGGAACUGAGACACGGGCAAGACUCCUACGGGAGGCAGCAGUGGGGAAUAUUGGAAAAUGGGGGAAACCCGGAUCCAGCCAGCCCGCGUGGGCGAUGAAGGCCUUCGGGUGGUAAAGCACUUUUGGCAGGAAAGCGGUACCUGCAGAAUAAGCACCGGCUAACUACGUGCCAGCAGCCGCGGUAAUAC
rnacentral:rRNA from 1 species